GACAGAGGUGCCGAGCGUUAGGCGGAAUCACUGGGCUUAAAGCGUGUGUAGGCGGGUCGUUAAGUGUCUUGUGAAAUCCCACCCGCUCAACGGUGGAACCGCUGGGCAUACUGGCGAUCUUGAGCAGUCCAGGGGCGAGCGGAACAAGCGGUGGAGCGGUGAAAUGCGUAGAUAUCGCUUGGAACGCCGACGGUGAAAACAGCUCGCUGGGGACUCGCUGACGCUGAGACACGAAAGCCAGGGGAGCGAACGGG
rnacentral:rRNA from 1 species